rnacentral:misc_RNA from 1 species
CAUAGAGACGGAAGAAGGUUACAGAAUCGAUUAACGUUGACAAUGGCUCUGCUCCGUUCCCGACAUAUGAAGCCACUCACUCACAAACACAGACACACACUUCUAUACAUCCACGCGCACGAGGGCAGAAAGCUCGCUCUCUGCACGGCGGUGCUUCAGCGCACGGACCAGCAGCAGCAGCAUCUUGCCCCCCUCCCUCUUCUUUUUUCUUUGUCGUUGCAGCCGACGGUUUAGCAACGAAAGACGACCCUCUCCGUUGCACGUGGGUUACAAAGUCUGCCAUCGCGGCUGUGUGUGCGUGUGGGGUCUUGUUCUCUUCGCCGAAUUCGCCCGCCGCAUUGUUUGUGCUGCCUUUUUUUUUCUCCCUUCGAAAGUCACCGGCCGUGCUGGAGCGAGCGUCUCUCUUCCGCUUGGGGUGGCAGUCCCUGCAAGGUGCGGAGACGAUAGGGCUGACGCGUGUAUUAUUAUUUUUGUUGCUUGCGUCAUGUUGUCCGCUUCAUCUUCUAGCUCGGAACUGGAGACUGCCGACGACGCGUCCGUCGAACACGCCGCGCUCGCCUACCAGCGCGUGAGGCGUGAGCAUGCGCUGCAGCGCUACCUCAAGGCCCGAGAAGCGUACGAGGUCGCGUGCAUCGCACGCGAGCGUCGCCAGCUUGUCCUGCAGUCACACAACCACACGCUACGGCUGCUGGAGGGGGUCGUUGGUGAUGUGAAGGCCGUCGUCGAUGCCACUCUGAAAGAAGGGUUGUCGGUGCGAGAGUCCACAGUUACAGCUGCAGAGAUGCUGCUCGCAUCUUCUUGCUACAAGAGGGCCGAGCGCGGUCUUGUGACUUUGUUGGCGCACGAGGGACGGCAACAUGAAGCGUUACAGGCCGCUACCCCGCCGCCAACGGAGACAUCUCUUAUACCGCAGGUGUUUUCGCCCGGCUCGAGGGCUGACAAGCCAGUCGCAUCGUCGUCAGAAAAGCACAUGCUGCGUCCGCUGCUUCUCCUGUGUGAGUGGCGGCUUGACUACACGACUCUGUUGUGCCGCCAACGCUUGCCGCUGUUUUCGGAGUUGGCGCGCGCCCAGCGACUGAUUCACAACUCUAGUGAGAGCGCCAGAGUGGCGCGUCGGCGCGCUCAUGCGCCGACGGCACCUAUUGCGCAACGGUGUCAGUUGCAAGUUGCGGAAGCCAGGGCUUCGCUUGCUAAGGCGAGAGCGUCUCAACGGUCUCUCAAAGAUCGUCUGCAUCAACUGCAUCAAAUGCUGAGCCGAAGCGCACCUGUUCACGCCGAGAGCGGUGUCUUCGUGGAUGCUGGUGUUGCCGAGGAGAUUCAAGCACAACUUCGGCGAGAGAUUGCCGUCGGCCGCGUUACGCUGCUGCGUAUUCUAUGCGAGAAUUUGAGUGGCGCGUUUGACGAGAAAGGGCGGCUGACGGCUCUCUGACGGCCCUCCUGUGGCUGCGUUGUGUGGGAACACAUAUUUGCUUUCCCUCUUGCCUGACUGCGCUGAUGGCCGUGACCACGGCCCGACCAGCGCACAGGUGUGUUUCUCUUUUGCCCCUACCCCCCCCCCCCAACUGCGCGUGGGUGCACUUCGCGGUCGCUUCGGUUUUGCAUGCGGCAUACAUGGCUGCUGCCGCCAGCUGCCUCUACUCCCGUGUUCUACUGAAAUG